rnacentral:rRNA from 1 species
AACGAACGCUGGCGGCAUGCCUAACACAUGCAAGUCGAACGAGACCUUCGGGUCUAGUGGCGCACGGGUGCGUAACGCGUGGGAACCUGCCCUUAGGUUCGGAAUAACUCCCCGACAGGGGUGCUAAUACCGGAUAAUGUCUUCGGACCAAAGAUUUAUCGCCUUUGGAUGGGCACGCGUUGGAUUAGCUAGUUGGUAGGGUAAAAGCCUACCAAGGCGACGCUCCAUAGCUGGUCUGAGAGGAUGAUCAGCCACACUGGGACUGAGGCACGGCCCAGACUCCUACGGGAGGAAGCAGUGGGGAAUAUUGGACAAUGGGCGAAAGGCUGAUCCAGCAAUGCCGCGUGAGUGAUGAAGGCCUUAGGGUUGUAAAGCUCUUUUACCCGGGAUGAUAAUGACAGUACCGGGAGAAUAAGCUCCGGCUAACUCCGUG